rnacentral:tRNA from 1 species
AAAAAGAUAAGCUAAUAAAGCUAUUAGGUUCAUACCCUAAUUAUAGAGGUUUUAAUCCUUUUCUUUUUA